rnacentral:rRNA from 1 species
CUAAGGCUGAUGGCGACCGGCGCACGGGUGAGUAACACGUAUCCAACCUGUCGUCUACUCUUGGCCAGCCUUCUGAAAGGAAGAUUAAUCCAGGAUGGCAUCAUGAGUUCACAUGUCCGCAUGAUUAAAGGUAUUUUCCGGUAGACGAUGGGGAUGCGUUCCAUUAGAUAGUAGGCGGGGUAACGGCCCACCUAGUCAACGAUGGAUAGGGGUUCUGAGAGGAAGGUCCCCCACAUUGGAACUGAGACACGGUCCAAACUCCUACGGGAGGCAGCAGUGAGGAAUAUUGGUCAAUGGGCGAUGGCCUGAACCAGCCAAGUAGCGUGAAGGAUGACUGCCCUAUGGGUUGUAAACUUCUUUUAUAAAGGAAUAAAGUCGGGUAUGCAUACCCGUUUGCAUGUACUUUAUGAAUAAGGAUCGGCUAACUCCGUGCCAGCAGCCGCGGUAAUACGGAGGAUCCGAGCGUUAUCCGGAUUUAUUGGGUUUAAAGGGAGCGUAGAUGGAUGUUUAAGUCAGUUGUGAAAAUUUGCGGCUCAACCGUAAAAUUGCAGUUGAUACUGGAUGUCUUGAGUGCAGUUGAGGCAGGCGGAAUUCGUGGUGUAGCGGUGAAAUGCUUAGAUAUCACGAAGAACUCCGAUUGCGAAGGCAGCCUGCUAAGCUGCAACU